UACGUAGGUGGCAAGCGUUGUCCGGAUUUACUGGGCGUAAAGAGCGCGCAGGCGGUCGAUCAAGUCGCGUGUGAAAGCCCACGGCUCAACCGUGGAGGGUCAUUGGAAACUGGGGGAACUUGAGUGCAGAAGAGAAAAGCGGAAUUCCACGUGUAGCGGUGAAAUGCGUAGAGAUGUGGAGGAACACCAGUGGCGAAGGCGGCUUUUUGGUCUGUAACUGACGCUGAGGCGCGAAAGCGUGGGGAGCAAACAGGG
rnacentral:rRNA from 1 species